UUUCCGUAGGUGAACCUGCGGAAGGAUCAUUAUCGUAUAACCGAGGUCCGAGGCCUUUCGCUCACCCGACACUUCGUGCACGCCCGAGUGCCCUCUUACACUUCCAUCUCACCCCUAUGUGCACCACCGCGGGGGUCCCCCUUUGGCCUGUUCGGAGGGCGGUUUACGUUUUCACACACACUUUGUAUGCAGUGUAGCAUGCAUUCUUUCUUUUUGUAAUGACGCAAUCAAUACAACUUUCAACAACGCAUCACUUGGUUCGUCCAUCUCUGAAGAACG
rnacentral:misc_RNA from 1 species